rnacentral:rRNA from 1 species
UACGAAGGGGGCUAGCGUUGCUCGGAAUCACUGGGCGUAAAGGGUGCGUAGGCGGGUCUUUAAGUCAGGGGUGAAAUCCUGGAGCUCAACUCCAGAACUGCCUUUGAUACUGAAGAUCUUGAGUUCGGGAGAGGUGAGUGGAACUGCGAGUGUAGAGGUGAAAUUCGUAGAUAUUCGCAAGAAACCAGUGGCGAAGGCGGCUCACUGGCCCGGUACUGACGCUGAGGUGCGAAAGCGUGGGGAGCAAACAGG